UACGGAGGGUGCAAGCGUUAUCCGGAUUCACUGGGCUUAAAGGGUGCGUAGGCGGGUAUGUAAGUCAGUGGUGAAAUCUCCGUGCUUAACAUGGAAACUGCCAUUGAUACUAUGUUUCUUGAAUUUUCUGGAGGUAAGCGGAAUAUGUCAUGUAGCGGUGAAAUGCUUAGAUAUGACAUAGAACACCAAUGGCGAAGGCAGCUUGCUGGAGGGAUAUUGACACUGAGGCACGAAAGCGUGGGGAUCAAACAGG
rnacentral:rRNA from 1 species